rnacentral:rRNA from 1 species
GUGGGGAAUAUUGCACAAUGGGCGCAAGCCUGAUGCAGCCAUGCCGCGUGUGUGAAGAAGGCCUUCGGGUUGUAAAGCACUUUCAGCGGGGAGGAAGGCGUUAAGGUUAAUAACCUCAUCGAUUGACGUUACCCGCAGAAGAAGCACCGGCUAACUCCGUGCCAGCAGCCGCGGUAAUACGGAGGGUGCAAGCGUUAAUCGGAAUUACUGGGCGUAAAGCGCACGCAGGCGGUCUGUCAAGUCGGAUGUGAAAUCCCCGGGCUCAACCUGGGAACUGCAUUCGAAACUGGCAGGCUAGAGUCUUGUAGAGGGGGGUAGAAUUCCAGGUGUAGCGGUGAAAUGCGUAGAGAUCUGGAGGAAUACCGGUGGCGAAGGCGACUUCCUGGUCCUAUACUGACGCUGAGACGCGAGAGCGUGGGGAGCAAACAGGAUUAGAUACCCCUGUAGUCC